CUUGAAGGCUCCUCUUUCAACUAUUGUACUCUCCUUGUGUGCAGUGUAUGCAAUUGCAUCCCUCCUCCUCCCAUUCUUUGCCUUCAGUCUAGUACCUCAUAGGUUCUUCUGAGGAUCUUCUGAUGACACGACAAACACUAGCAUUACCUGCAGCCCUUGGCUUCCUCUCUUCCAGAAUCCUCAUUAUUAAUUCCAUCCUGAUGAAUGAGAGCACACCCAGACAUGCUUCAGCUCAGAUUGUAUAAAAAGAGAAAAAGGUGCUCUACUGAGGAUUUAGAAAUCCAAAAAGAAACAUCUUACCCCAGGACCCUUCACAGGAUCACUAUCCCAGAAAACUGGUUGGUUAAUGAGUUGAGGUCAAGGAUCACAGCAGGCAGGCCUACUUCUAUCCCUGCUCAACCCCGCUUUAUCUCGGCCUCGGAGGAGACUUGGAUCCCGAGGCAGAGGAUGGUGUGCAAGGAGGGUAGAGUGGAGACAGGCGUCUCUUGAGUUGGAUGUGACCUGAUGCGACGUGCACUUGCGUCUGCCUCCAUGGAAGAUCAUUUUUCCACAUCAAGAGCGGUCAAUGUUAACCUUAUUGUUUUGUUUUUCUUCUUUUGUCAGUGGGUUUUGAGAUUAUUUUUGCAAUGACAAGCACUAUAAAAAAUUCUAGAUCAUUACCGUUUGUCUAUUGUAAUUUAUCUUGGUUUAUUAGACACUUUUAUUUGAAUGAUUGAUCUAUUUAAGUUAAUGUUUCUAACUAAGCAUCGGUGUGCAUCUGCACAGGGAAACUAAAUAGUGAGUUGAAGGGGAUGAUGCUGCUAAUUUCCUUUGGGUAGGCUUUUCAAUUCAUUUACAAAAUGAAUGCAUCCAUAAGAAAAAAUAUGCUGAAAAAAUAUACUGUCUUGUAAAAAAGCAGGAUGACAUCAUUAGAAUUGUAUAUAUAUAUUUAUAAACUUGGUUCAAGCCCUGAAUGCUGCUUGGCUGACAGCCGUGGUAUAUCAGACCCUAUACCAUUGGUAUGACAAAACAUUUAUUUUUACUGCUCUAAUUAUGUUGGUAACCAGUUCAUAAUAGCAUGAAGGCACCUAGGGCAUUUGUGGUAUAUGGCCAAUAUCCAGGCACUCCGCGUUGCAUCGAGAUUAGAACAGCCCUUGGCCGUGGUAUUUUGACCAUAAACCACACCCCCUCGUGCCUUAUUGCUUAAAUAUCAAAGUCAAUAACUAAGAAGAUAGCACUAAGCCCACACAUAUCCAACAUUUAUCCAAUCUCGGGAAUUCUAAAACCAUUAUUCCAAUCAUAUCAAAAACAGACACUCGGAGGAAACUUCGACCGCAAACACUCUGAAAUGCAAAGCAGGCCUACAUCUCAAAACAAGUGCCACAAGUGUCAACGUUUGACAUCGAGUUACAGACAUUGUUUUGACUGUACACUAUACUGUAUUUACACAGACAACAAAGACCGAAUAAAUAUUCAAAGGUAGCACAUCUCUGAAUUUGACAAAUCACGCCUGAAGUAGCUGUCCUCCGCAGGCAAGGCGUAUACAUAGUCUGAUGUGCCAUAAGGUGCGUAUUCUGGAGUGGAGACGCUCUCCUGGAGGUUGCAGUUCUGGUAGUGGUAGUGCUCUGGAACAAACCCAUAACUCAAGUCCAGCCUCGUCGGAGAGUUGUAACACGACGAAGAGUAAGACUCCUGUGGCGAAUAACUAUUGUAAUCGACCGGACUUGACAUAUUCAGGGAACCUGAUGGUGAGCUGGGAGCCUGAAAAACAAGCCAGAUGAGAUGUGCAUUACUAUUGUAGUACAGUAUAACGAAACCAUUUCCUAUUCCAAGCCAAAUCUCUGAAUGAACAAACAGCCUGAGCUUUGACAAAUAUUUCAUAUGACCGUGCGUAAUUGCAAAGACAGGAGAUUGCACAACUGAAUUUGAAUAAAGCAUACCAUGCCAUGGCCGUAAUAGCCCAUAUUCGGGGAGUGAUUUUCCUGGCGCCAAAGUGUUGUUGAGGUAGCGGGAUGCAGAAUACCACUGCUGUAGGUCUCGUUGGGGAUCAUCAUGCUUAUCAAGUGUUGAUUAUCGAAGCUGUCCUUCUGGACGUUGCUCUCUGGAAUGGACCGCGGCUGAAAGAUGCAGUUGGAAUUCAUCUCUUCAGGGAAAUAAUCAAAGUAAUGGCCUUUAGGAAUGAACGAGAAGGAUCAGUCAGAGGGUGCAUACAUAAACACAUGCAGGGAGACAUGUAAAUAAGUGAAGACUCCAGAAGUGAUGUCACAGCACCACCAGCCAACAGCUAAAAAACACAUUUGAAUGCAAGUUUAUAAAAAGGUCCCAGUACACUGCACUUUAGGAAUGUGGGUCAGUGUCAAUUGUAUACAAAGAUAUAUGUUCCAACUAUUCUGCUGUGGUCGUUGAUUCUCCAUGAGGAACGUAAAAAAGAACCAUGAUCCGAAGAAAAAAUAAUGAUAAACUUACCAGACAUGUUGUACAAAUUAAGAAGGAGUGCUGGAAGAAGAGCAGUUAUGAGAUUCCACAAUGUCCUUUUCUGGCUCAGUUAUAUGGGCUAUAACGAAAUAUUCAUAAAAGUCACACAAAUUCUCAACACACAAGUCUUAAAACUGUCUCAGAGCAUACAAUAAUAUCCUAAUAUAGCUAGGGAUAUAUUAGUUUGUGAAAUUUUCUCUCCAUGCCUACUUUUUAAAACCCCUAGAACUCAAUGAUUUGACAAUGAUUUGAUUGCGCGUUACUUUCAAUUUGAAUAUUCAAAGGCUACUCAAAAAUACAGAUUUUUCAGUAUAAAUCAAUACAUAUGCACUUAAAAUAACAUUUAAUUUAAUAGAUUUUAAUAAUAUUUUAUACCCAAACCAAAAAGAAAUGGACAUUUUAAACAUUUUAUCCAUGUUUUGCCAAUCUGCCAUCAGGCCCUCUUCAUAAUGAGGCACUACAGGAAAGUAACGGUUAGAUGUUCUAUCUAAACAUGACCAACAAUUAAACAUCGCAGAUCAUAUGUAUAUCAGGAUGGAUGAGCACAUUAACACGUUAUUACCAUAUAUUUUUAGUCUUAUUUUAAACAAUAAACUAUUAAAUGUCUAGGUUGUGGGCGUGGCAUAUGGUAGCAGCCAUUUCUGCCAUCACUGACUCCGUUGCUCCCUCAGCAAUUCCAUGCUCCCCAUCACUGGAACUCACAUCACCCACGUCUUAUUAUAGUUGUUUUAGCAUUAUUUAGUUUAGUUACAUUAAUUAUAUAAUAUAAAGACUGAACGUUUUAGCCAUUCACAUGUCAAACCUGAUUUGACAUCCCAGGGCUAGGCUAUUAUAUACGAAUCGAGAAAACUAUUUACAAAUGAAUUGCAAUGCAAAAAAAUCGGUUUACAAACGUCUGAUAUAUUUUCAAUUCAAUGACAAGACUCUCGGAUUAGUCUACUUGUGUAGCCUUGGCCUACUUAGAUGUGGGCAAAGUCAUUUCAAUUGAUUAUUGGAAUAGGGUUACUGUCCAUACCUGUUUAAAUGUAUAAGAGUUCACAACUUAAUACAUAUGAUGUGAGAAAACAGCACAUUGCUUUAGAGAAAACCAUUUCCUAUAAAUGUUCUUCCAUUGCCAUUGUGAGCCUACAUUACAUUUGAAUAACAAUUUACAAACAUAUCAAACAAUGAACUCGAACUUAUUUUUAUAUAAUUGGUUUAUUUUACCUUUAUUUAACCAGGUAGACAAGUUGAGAACAAGUUCUCAUUUACAACUGCGACCUGGCCAAGAUAAAGCAAAGCAGUUCGACACAUACAGAGUUACACAUGGAAUAAAACAAACAUACAGUCAAUAAUACAGUAGAAAAAUAAGUCUAUAUACAAUGUGAGCAAAUGAGGUGAGAUAAGGGAGGGAAGGGCAAUAGUUUUAAUUAAAAUAGCUUAGAUUUCAGUUUUGGGGUAUCGAUCUAUCAUUAUCCUCACUCAUAUAUUGAGAAAAUGCACGUACACUAUCUGCCCAACACAAUCUAUGGCCUUUCCUGAUUUGUACUGGUAGGGGCCUAUACAAUGAUCCCUAUUAUGUAGGCCUAAAUCCCAUCAUCUCCACUGGGUAGUUGUAUUGACAAACUUCCAUAAAGUAGGACCUGGGUCCAUUAUCCUAACUACCAAGAAUAUUAUGCUAGUGCUCUCAUAGAAUAUCUAACGUUUGGCUUUUUUUAUUGAUUUAUUGCUGCCGUUGCAAUUCCCCCCAUGAAUUACGCUGAUAUCAUAAGAGAAGAGGUAACAUGAAACAACCGCGCCAUCUAGUGUAGGAUAUACGUUAGUAGGUUCUCCCUCAGUCUUAAUUCGAUGUAGUGGUGACAGAACAAAAUAUAACUCAACAAACGGAAAAGUCAUGUUUUUUUCAUGUGUC
rnacentral:lncRNA from 1 species